AACAUGCUGUCUGCAGAGGUGUUUACUAUCACCCAGUAGCAGCCCCUCCUCCUGCCUUGAAGCCCUUUUGCCCUGCUUGUCUUUCACUCAGCUUUGUCUUCUCCUUUCGCACUACAGUGGCUUCAUUCUGCUGCUUGCCUCGGCAGAAAGGCCCAGAAGGAGAAGAAAAGAAAGGGGUAGUUAUGUAGCAGCUAUUCUGAUAAUGGAUCAGCUCACUUGCUUGUUCCUGCCCUCCUUGGUCCUCUGGACCAAAUCCCACUGGCCAACUGGUCAGAUGGAAGGGAUGCAAUCCAGCCCACUGGCAUCACCAACAAGAACAACAGGAGGAGAAGGUGAGAGGAAGAAAACAUCCAGACUAAUGACACUCUAGCAGAAGAGAGUAUUCGUGAACAAUGGGAAAGACCAGCCUUUGGCUGCUUGGAUUUCCCAGCUCCUUGUUUGGACUUUUGAGACCUUGACUCCUGCUACUUGAGACCUGAUUCCUGAGCCAGAGAUGGGGCUGCUUCACCUCACCUUAAGAUCUCCCUUGGUGACAUCAUGGACCUUGGGCUCAGGACUCUUGGAAUUUGAUGCAGGAGGAUCCCUGAUCUACCGGCUUCCUUGGCGGUGACCUGGGACCAAGCCUCGGACAGACAAGCUUGUGACACUAUCAGUGUUGGCUGCAGUGCACCCCCUCACACUGGCCCUGCCACUGUGCAGAGCUGAUGUAACCACGCCCCCUUGCUAUCCCCACCCUGCCUCUAAAGCCCAGGCAAGACACUGGUUGUGUGUCACCGUGUGCUCUUGCACUCCUUGGUGCUCUUGGUGGUGGUUUAAAAAUGAGAGCCCACACAGCCGCUCCAGGUUUCCUACAGCUAGCUGCACUGUUUGCACAGCAUGCCCAGCAGGAAGAGCAGCUGCGUGAGCCCUCCUUUUUAAGCUGCUGCUUACAGCAACUAUAACAGCAGCAUCCUCUGGCCUCUCUUCCACUGGCUCUCCUUCCCUCCAAGCAUGGAGAGAGCCAGUGGAAGUGAGGUGCUGUCAUCACCACUGGCUUAAAAAGGAGAGUCCACACAAUUGCUCCUGCUGGCCAUACUGUAGGAAGCUUUGAA